rnacentral:rRNA from 2 species
GGCCAAGUUUUUAAGGGCGCACGGUGGAUGCCUUGGCACCAGGAACCGAUGAAGGACGUGGGAGGCCACGAUAGUCCCCGGGGAGUCGUCAACCAGGCUUUGAUCCGGGGGUUUCCGAAUGGGGAAACCCGGCAGUCGUCAUGGGCUGUCACCCUUGCCUGAACACAUAGGGCAAGUGGAGGGAACGCGGGGAAGUGAAACAUCUCAGUACCCGCAGGAAGAGAAAACAACCGUGAUUCCGGGAGUAGUGGCGAGCGAAACCGGAUGAGGCCAAACCGUAUGCGUGUGAGACCCGGCAGGGGUUGCGUAUACGGGGUUGUGGGAUCUCUCUUUCACAGUCUGCCGGCUGUGAGGCGAGUCAGAAACCGUUGAUGUAGGCGAAGGACAUGCGAAAGGUCCGGCGUAGAGGGUAAGACCCCCGUAGCUGAAACAUUGACGGCUCGUUUGAGAGACACCCAAGUAGCACGGGGCCCGAGAAAUCCCGUGUGAAUCUGGCGGGACCACCCGCUAAGCCUAAAUAUUCCCUGGUGACCGAUAGCGGAUAGUACCGUGAGGGAAUGGUGAAAAGUACCGCGGGAGCGGAGUGAAAUAGUACCUGAAACCGUGUGCCUACAAGCCGUGGGAGCGUCGCG